AGCGAACGCUGGCGGCAGGCCUAACACAUGCAAGUCGAACGGACCCUUCGGGGUUAGUGGCGGACGGGUGAGUAACACGUGGGAACGUGCCUUUAGGUUCGGAAUAGCUCCUGGAAACGGGUGGUAAUGCCGAAUGUGCCCUUCGGGGGAAAGAUUUAUCGCCUUUAGAGCGGCCCGCGUCUGAUUAGCUAGUUGGUGAGGUAACGGCUCACCAAGGCGACGAUCAGUAGCUGGUCUGAGAGGAUGACCAGCCACACUGGGACUGAGACACGGCCCAGACUCCUACGGGAGGCAGCAGUGGGUAUCUUGCGCAAUGGGCGAAAGCCUGACGCAGCCAUGCCGCGUGAAUGAUGAAGGUCUUAGGAUUGUAAAAUUCUUUCACCGGGGACGAUAAUGACGGUACCCGGAGAAGAAGCCCCGGCUAACUUCGUG
rnacentral:rRNA from 1 species